rnacentral:rRNA from 1 species
GAUGAACGCUGGCGGCGUGCCUAAUACAUGCAAGUCGAGCGAAUGGAUUGAGAGCUUGCUCUUAUGAAGUUAGCGGCGGACGGGUGAGUAACACGUGGGUAACCUGCCCAUAAGACUGGGAUAACUCCGGGAAACCGGGGCUAAUACCGGAUAACAUUUUGAACCGCAUGGUUCGAAAUUGAAAGGCGGCUUCGGCUGUCACUUAUGGAUGGACCCGCGUCGCAUUAGCUAGUUGGGGAGGUAACGGCUCACCAAGGCAACGAUGCGUAGCCGACCUGAGAGGGUGAUCGGCAACACUGGGACUGAGACACGGCCCAGACUCCUACGGGAGGCAGCAGUAGGGAAUCUUCCGCAAUGGACGACAGUCUGACGGAGCAACGCCGCGUGAGUGAUGAAGGCUUUCGGGUCGUAAAACUCUGUUGUUAGGGAAGAACAAGUGCUAGUUGAAUAAGCUGGCACCUUGACGGUACCUAACCAGAAAGCCACGGCUAACUACGUGCCAGCCGCCGCCGUAA